UACGAAGGGGGCUAGCGUUGCUCGGAAUCACUGGGCGUAAAGGGUGCGUAGGCGGGUCUUUAAGUCAGGGGUGAAAUCCUGGAGCUCAACUCCAGAACUGCCUUUGAUACUGAAGAUCUUGAGUUCGGGAGAGGUGAGUGGAACUGCAAGUGUAGAGGUGAAAUUCGUAGAUAUUCGCAAGAACACCAGUGGCGAAGGCGGCUCACUGGCCCGAUACUGACGCUGAGGCACGAAAGCGUGGGGAGCAAACAGGG
rnacentral:rRNA from 1 species